rnacentral:rRNA from 1 species
UACGGAGGAUGCGAGCGUUAUCCGGAUUUAUUGGGUUUAAAGGGUGCGUAGGCGGGCUUUUAAGUCAGCGGUAAAAAUUCGGGGCUCAACCCCGUCCGGCCGUUGAAACUGGGGGCCUUAAGUGGGCGAGAAGAAGGCGGAAUGCGUGGUGUAGCGGUGAAAUGCAUAGAUAUCACGCAGAACCCCGAUUGCGAAGGCAGCCUUCCGGCGCCCUACUGACGCUGAGGCACGAAAGUGCGGGGAUCGAACAGG